rnacentral:lncRNA from 1 species
CACAGUUUUGUCUCUGCAUUGCCUUAACCACACACUUGAAAUCCCCUUUCUGUCCUUGGAUGGUGUUUCAAGGAUAUACUAUAAUUUAGGGGUCGCUUUCAGAUGCUAAAAUGCCCAAUUCAAUCUAAAUCAAAACUUUAAUCUUAUGUUCAAUUUAAAGUUUUCACCUGUCACCCGUUGAAGCCUAACCACGUGCCCAGCAGAGAGGAAGGGGUGGGGGUGGGGAUCUGGAACUUCGUCUGUUACUUCACUCCCUUUAUUCCACAGGCCUCUUCUCUCAUCCUCACCCCAACAGUUUCCUAUUUGUGGUUCUCACUUAGUUUUGGCAGGUGUUCAUAUUUGAUGUAUUUCCUGGAACAUGUUAGUGGUUUCUUUGGAGAAAACCAACAAUUCACCAUUUCUUUUGGUGGGGGAUUUAUUUUCUGGGAGAUCUCACACCACCCUCAUGAGCUUCUGCCCUAGCUUUACAGGGGCUAGGGGUAGAAGUGACAAAAAGGGUGAUCUCCUCCACAGAAGACCCGCUUCUCUAUUUACACGAUGCACCAUUACCUCUGAAGUAGCCAUCACCGAUCCUGCAUUCUCAGUUAUCCAUAGAUCCAGACACAGAACUUUCCCUUUGUUACAGAAAAUUUUAUUGCAUAGCACCAAUCUGGAGUAUUUUAUGUCCAUCAACAAUAAGCAACUUUUAAGGCUUGGAACAUCAUCCCUAUCCAAGAACCAUGAAACUGAAUAAAACAAAUCAUUCUGAAUUACUCCUGUCCACUCUCUGUUUGAUGAUACUGCCUGUUAAUACCUGUGAGUUGCUAUGUAUUACCUGCUAUAUAUCAUUGUUUAUGAGUGUCAUCUCAAAGUGGGCGAUUUGGUCCAUAUUGCAAACUGGUAGAGGUUGAAGAUGGACAAUUUGCUUUCACUCGCAAGUGCUCUAGAGGGAACACCCAGAGCAUAUAACAAUGGUUUGUUGUUUCAUUGUUCCAGUUCAUCCCUUGUCCAAUCUUUACUCCAACUCACAUAAAGCGUAGAAGAUCCAGCUUCAAAUACCUUUCUCCCUUCAGUUUUUCCAUAUUUUCCAAAUUGCUCCUUUAGCUAAUCCACCAUACAUUUUUGACUGUAUGUCAAUACAAAUCAUACCUUUAUCUCUAACUUCUGAUUAGUUACAGACUAUUAUCAAAAUAGUAUAUUACAUGUAAACUUAACACUUUAUUUGAAUAUUUGAUAUCACAACCUCCCUUAUAAUUUGGUCUUCAAUCUCUUUUAGAAACAUCUUUCAGUUCUUCUGUGAAUAAUAAGUAAGGUAACCAUAUAAUUUAUCAUCCAACACAUAACACUUUAAAAGGCCUAGGGGGCACUGAAUGACAGU